AUGCAUGCUAAGAGAGAUUGGUUUGUGAAAGCAUGUUCUUCUAUUUUUCGUGAUAAUAAUGAUGAAGAUUUUAAAGUGAUUGGUGUUACUCCUAUUGAAUCUCUAUUUGCCAAUAUAAAACUUGAUCAAUAUGGGACUGGAGAUGAGUCAACUUUAGCUAGAAGGUGUCCCAAUAAUUUGGAGGGUGAUGAUCUUGAUAAAAAAAUUGAUGAAAGUGGGAUCGAAGAGGUCAAAACUUCAGGCAGCGAUAAACCCACUCUUUUGGUUCUCAAGGAAUUUAAUUAUGAUAAUUGCUCUUUAAUUGAUUGCAUUUCCUUGUUGCAAUCCAUGCUUAAUUCGCCUCGUGCUUAUAAUCAAACUAAGGCUUUUACUAAACAUAUCGUUGAUGCUAUGAUAAAAUCUUUUGAAGAAAAACUUGAGUUAGAAGUUUCAAUCCCUAGAAAGCUUUAUGAUGAGUGGGAGCCUACUAUAAAGAUUAAAAUUAAAGAUUAG
rnacentral:rRNA from 1 species